rnacentral:rRNA from 1 species
UGGAUUGGUGCCUUCGGGAACUGUGAGACAGGUGCUGCAUGGCUGUCGUCAGCUCGUGUUGUGAAAUGUUGGGUUAAGUCCCGCAACGAGCGCAACCCUUAUCCUUUGUUGCCAGCGGUCCGGCCGGGAACUCAAAGGAGACUGCCAGUGAUAAACUGGAGGAAGGUGGGGAUGACGUCAAGUCAUCAUGGCCCUUACGACCAGGGCUACACACGUGCUACAAUGGCGCAUACAAAGAGAAGCGACCUCGCGAGAGCAAGCGGACCUCAUAAAGUGCGUCGUAGUCCGGAUUGGAGUCUGCAACUCGACUCCAUGAAGUCGGAAUCGCUAGUAAUCGUGGAUCAGAAUGCCACGGUGAAUACGUUCCCGGGCCUUGUACACACCGCCCGUCACACCAUGGGAGUGGGUUGCAAAAGAAGUAGGUAGCUUAACCUUCGGGAGGGCGCUUACCACUUUGUGAUUCAUGACUGGGGUGAAGUCGUAACAAGGUAACCGUAGGGGAACCUGCGGUUGGAUCACCUCCUU